rnacentral:rRNA from 1 species
UACGUAGGGAGCAAGCGUUGUCCGGAAUCAUUGGGCGUAAGCGCGCGUAGGCGGCCCUGUAAGUCCGCUGUGAAAGUCAAAGGCUCAAUCUUUGAAUGCCGGUGGAUACUGCAAAGCUGGAGUCCUGGAGAGGAAGGCGGAAUUCUCGGUGUAGAGGUGAAAUUCGUAGAUAUCGAGAGGAACACCGGUGGCGAAGGCGGCCUUCUGGACAGUGACUGACGCUGAGACGCGAACCGGGAGCA